AACGAACGCUGGCGGCAUGCCUAACACAUGCAAGUCGAACGAUGCCUUCGGGCAUAGUGGCGCACGGGUGCGUAACGCGUGGGAAUCUGCCUUUCGGUUCGGAAUAACUCAGGGAAACUUGAGCUAAUACCGGAUAACGUCGCAAGACCAAAGAUUCAUCACCGAAAGAUGAGCCCGCGUAGGAUUAGCUAGUUGGUGAGGUAAAGGCUCACCAAGGCGACGAUCCUUAGCUGGUCUGAGAGGAUGAUCAGCCACACUGGGACUGAGACACGGCCCAGACUCCUACGGGAGGCAGCAGUGGGGAAUAUUGGACAAUGGGCGAAAGCCUGAUCCAGCAAUGCCGCGUGAGUGAUGAAGGCCUUAGGGUUGUAAAGCUCUUUUACCCGGGAAGAUAAUGACGGUACCGGGAGAAUAAGCCCCGGCUAACUCCGUG
rnacentral:rRNA from 1 species